GCUUACGGCCAUACCAACCUGGCUAUGCCCGAUCUCGUCUGCUCUCCGAAGCUAAGCAUGUUUGGGCCUAGUUAGUACUUGGAUGGGAGACCGCCUGGGAAUACCAGGUGCUGUAAGCU
rnacentral:rRNA from 1 species